rnacentral:rRNA from 1 species
UGGCGGACGGGUGAGUAAUGUCUGGGAAACUGCCUGAUGGAGGGGGAUAACUACUGGAAACGGUAGCUAAUACCGCAUAACGUCGCAAGACCAAAGAGGGGGACCUUCGGGCCUCGCGCCAUCAGAUGAACCCAUAUGGGAUUAGCUAGUAGGUAAGGUAACGGCUUACCUAGGCGACGAUCCCUAGCUGGUCUGAGAGGAUGACCAGCCACACUGGAACUGAGACACGGUCCAG